AUACGGAGGGAGCGAGCGUUAAUCGGAAUUACUGGGCGUAAAGCGCGCGUAGGCGGCUUUGUCAGUCGGAUGUGAAAGCCCUGGGCUCAACCUGGGAAUGGCAUUCGAUACUGCAGAGCUAGAGUAUGGUAGAGGGAAGUGGAAUUUCCGGUGUAGCGGUGAAAUGCGUAGAUAUCGGAAGGAACACCAGUGGCGAAGGCGACUUCCUGGGCCAAUACUGACGCUGAGGUGCGAAAGCGUGGGGAGCAAACAGGAUUAGAAACCCCAGUAGUCC
rnacentral:rRNA from 1 species